CCUGGUGUCAAUAGCGUGAGGGUCACACCCGGUCCCAUCCCGAACCCGGAAGUUAAGCUCGACAGCGCCGAUGGUACUUGGAGGGCAACUUCCUGGGAGAGUAGGUCAUUGCCAAAA
rnacentral:rRNA from 1 species